rnacentral:rRNA from 3 species
CCACCCGCUGAGCUUAA